AACGAACGCUGGCGGCAUGCCUAACACAUGCGAGUCGAACGAGACCUUCGGGUCUAGUGGCGCACGGGUGCGUAACGCGUGGGAACCUGCCUUUAGGUUCGGAAUAACUCAGAGAAAUUUGAGCUAAUACCGGAUGAUGUCUUCGGACCAAAGAUUUAUCGCCUUUAGAUGGGCCCGCGUUGGAUUAGCUAGUUGGUGGGGUAAAGGCCUACCAAGGCGACGAUCCAUAGCUGGUCUGAGAGGAUGAUCAGCCACACUGGGACUGAGACACGGCCCAGACUCCUACGGGAGGCAGCAGUGGGGAAUAUUGGACAAUGGGCGAAAGCCUGAUCCAGCAAUGCCGCGUGAGUGAUGAAGGCCUUAGGGUUGUAAAGCUCUUUUACCCGAGAUGAUAAUGACAGUAGCGGGAGAAUAAGCUCCGGCUAACUCCGUG
rnacentral:rRNA from 1 species